AACUGUGAGACAGGUGCUGCAUGGCUGUCGUCAGCUCGCGUUGUGAAAUGUUGGGUUAAGUCCCGCAACGAGCGCAACCCUUAUCCUUUGUUGCCAGCGGUCCGGCCGGGAACUCAAAGGAGACUGCCAGUGAUAAACUGGAGGAAGGUGGGGAUGACGUCAAGUCAUCAUGGCCCUUACGACCAGGGCUACACACGUGCUACAAUGGCGCAUACAAAGAGAAGCGACCUCGCGAGAGCAAGCGGACCUCAUAAAGUGCGUCGUAGUCCGGAUUGGAGCCUGCAACUCGACUCCAUGAAGUCGGAAUCGCUAGUAAUCGUGGAUCAGAAUGCCACGGUGAAUACGUUCCCGGGCCUUGUACACACCGCCCGUCACACCAUGGGAGUGGGUUGCAAAAGAAGUAGGUAGCUUAACCUUCGGGAGGGCGCUUACCACUUUGUGAUUCAUGACUGGGGUGAAGUCGUAACAAGGUAACCGUAGGGGAACCUGCGGCUGGAUCACCUC
rnacentral:rRNA from 1 species